AGUGGGGAAUAUUGGACAAUGGGCGAAAGCCUGAUCCAGCCAUGCCGCGUGUGUGAAGAAGGUCUUCGGAUUGUAAAGCACUUUAAGUUGGGAGGAAGGGCAGUAAGUUAAUACCUUGCUGUUUUGACGUUACCGACAGAAUAAGCACCGGCUAACUCUGUGCCAGCAGCCGCGGUAAUACAGAGGGUGCAAGCGUUAAUCGGAAUUACUGGGCGUAAAGCGCGCGUAGGUGGUUUGUUAAGUUGGAUGUGAAAGCCCCGGGCUCAACCUGGGAACUGCAUCCAAAACUGGCAAGCUAGAGUACGGUAGAGGGUGGUGGAAUUUCCUGUGUAGCGGUGAAAUGCGUAGAUAUAGGAAGGAACACCAGUGGCGAAGGCGACCACCUGGACUGAUACUGACACUGAGGUGCGAAAGCGUGGGGAGCAAA
rnacentral:rRNA from 1 species